rnacentral:rRNA from 1 species
GACGAACGCUGGCGGCGUGCUUAACACAUGCAAGUCGAACGGAAAGGCCCUGCUUUUGUGGUCUGCUCGAUUGGCGAACGGGGGAGUAACACGUGAGUAACCUGCCCUUGUCUUUGGGAUAACUUCAGGAAACUGGGCCUAAUACCGUAUCGGAUCUCCUGCUCCAUUGUGAGCGUUGGAAAUUUUCGGCGGGUGGGGAUGGAGUCGCGGCUUACCAGCUUGCUGGUGGGGUGGGGGCUUACCAAGGCUUUGACGGGUAGCCGACCUGAGAGGGUGAACGGCCACAAGGGGACUGAGAGACGGACCAGACUGGUACGGGAGGCAGCGGUGGGGAAUAUUGUACAAUGAGAGGAAGUCUGAUGCAGCGGCGCCGCGUGCGGGAUGACGGUCUGUGGGUUGUAAACAGCAGUAGCCUGUGACGACGCGUGAGUGACGGUAAUGAGUAAAGAAGCACCGGCUAACUACGUG